UUCUUCUAUUUGAAUGUGUGGUAAAUGAUACAUCUCCAAGAAGCAUCUCCAAGAAGCAUCUCCAAGACAUACAUACAGAAAUGUUGUAAUAUUUAUAGUCAGGAAAUGCUUCUUCUGAGAAUGCUUCUUCUGGUGUCUCAUUUAGCCACACUUUUGGAUUAAGGAGAA
rnacentral:pre_miRNA from 1 species